CGAGCGCAACCCGUUGAUCUUAGGUUGCCAGCAAGUCAGUUUGGGCACUCUAAGGUGACUGCCGGUGACAAACCGGUAGGUAAGGUGUGGGAUGACGUCAAAUCAUCAUGCCCCUUAGUGACCUGGGCUUCACACGUGCUACAAUGGACGGUACAAAGGGCUGCAACCCCGCGAGGGCAAGCCAAUCCCAGAAAACCGUUCUCAGUUCGGAUUGCAGGCAAAAACUCGCUGCAUGAAGCCGGAAUCGCUAGUAAUCGUGGAUCAGCAUGCCACGGUGAAUACGUUACACCGGGCCUUGUGCAACACCGCCCGUCACACCACGAGAGUUUGUAUACACCCGAAGUCGGUGAGGUAACCCUUGUGGAGCCAGCCGCCGAAGGUGGGA
rnacentral:rRNA from 1 species